rnacentral:rRNA from 1 species
GACAGAGGGUGCAAACGUUGUUCGGAAUUACUGGGCGUAAAGCGUGCGCAGGCGGUUCUAUAAGACAGAUGUGAAAUCCCCGGGCUCAACCCUGGGAACUGCAUUUGUGACUGUAGAGCUGGAGUACGGCAGAGGGGGGGAUGGAAUUCCGCGUGUAGCAGUGAAAUGCGUAGAUAUGCGGAGGAACACCGAUGGCGAAGGCAAUCCCCUGGGCCUGUACUGACGCUCAUGCACGAAAGCGUGGGGAGCAAACAGG